UACGGAGGGUGCAAGCGUUGUUCGGAUUUACUGGGCGUAAAGCGUGCGCAGGCGGUCUGUUAAGACCGAUGUGAAAUCCCCGGGCUUAACCUGGGAACUGCAUUGGUGACUAGCAGGCUUUGAGUGUGGCAGAGGGAGGUAGAAUUCCAGGUGUAGCGGUGAAAUGCGUAGAGAUCUGGAGGAACACCGAUGGCGAAGGCAGCCUUCUGGGCCAACACUGACGCUCAUGCACGAAAGCGUGGGGAGCAAACAGG
rnacentral:rRNA from 1 species